UACGUAGGGUGCGAGCGUUGUCCGGAAUUAUUGGGCGUAAAGAGCUUGUAGGCGGUUUGUCGCGUCUGCCGUGAAAGCCCAGGGCUUAACCCUGGGUCUGCGGUGGGUACGGGCAGACUAGAGUGUGGUAGGGGAGACUGGAAUUCCUGGUGUAGCGGUGAAAUGCGCAGAUAUCAGGAGGAACACCAGCGGCGAAGGCGGCGCUCUGGGCCGGUACUGACACUGAGGAGCGAAAGCGUGGGUAGCAAACAGG
rnacentral:rRNA from 1 species